AUUGAACGCUGGCGGCAGGCUUAACACAUGCAAGUCGAGCGAGCGGCGGACGGGUGAGUCAUUUCUGGGAAACUUCCUUAUGGAGGGGGAUAACUACUUGAAACGGUAGCUAAUACCGCAUACCAUCAGAUGUUCCCAGAUGGGAUUAGCUAGUUGGUGGGGUAAUGGCUCACCUAGGCGACGAUCCCUAGCUGGUCUGAGAGGAUGACCAGACACACGGGAACUGAGACACGGUCCAGACUCCUACGGGAGGCAGCAGUGGGGAAUAUUGCACAAUGGGCGCAAGCCUGAUGCAGCCAUGCCGCGUGUGUGAAGAAGGCCUGCGGGUUGUAAAGCACUUUCAGCGAGGAGGCGUUACUCGCAGAAGAAGCACCGGCUAACUCCGUGCCAGCAGCCGCGGUAAUAC
rnacentral:rRNA from 1 species